AAACAGAGGAAGAAGGAAUUAGGUUCUGUCAAUGGCCGUUCAACUGAAAUUAAGAAGGCUUUGCCAAGGGACAAUUAUGGUUCCUUCUUUGGACCUUCUCAGCCUGUGAUCGCUCAAAGAGUAAUCCAAGAAAGCAAGUCGCUAUUGGAGAAUACAAAUUUGGCAGCAAAAGUCCUGAAAUCAAACCAUGCUAACGACAGGAGCUCUGCAUCAAAACCCGCAGGAUCAAAAUCUGGCACUAGCAGCCAUGCAUCAAAGGUCACUAAUGGGUUGAAAACAAAGGUCCAGAUGUUAAAAAAUACAAGAGAUUACUCAUUUCUAUUAUCUGAUGAUGCUGAACUUCCUGCUCCAUCAAAAGGAGUACCUCAUAAAGACUGCCCCUUAUUCUGAUGCACGAUUAUCUUCACCGCCAAGCAGCAAGCAAUCUUUAAGUAAUACGCGGAGGAAGCUGCUCAAUGAUCGUGAAGUACGGAAACCUAUACCAGGAAGCAGCCAAAUGCAAUCGAAACUGUUGACGCAGCUAUCAGUUUCUGUUCGUAAACAAUCUCAACUAGCAUUAGAUUUGAGAAAACAGCUUAGUAGCAGUAAAGGGAGUGGGCCUGAUCGGCCUUUGGGGCCAAAAGUGGUGCCUCCCAAAGUUAUAGGGGUUCCAAAUGGCAAGAGGGUUUUGACACCAGGCGUCAAGAGCACUGUGCCUGCUUUGCAUAAGCCAACCCCUUCAAAGUUGCAACCUUCUAUUCCAAGGCAGUCCUUAGUACAGAAAAAGGAACUGCCACAAUCUGGAAAGUCAAAGGGGAUAUCAAAUCAAGCUGUGCCUUCAUCCAAAUCUAAGCAGAUGAUGCAGAAACAGGCAGUGCCGUCAUCCAAAUCUCAGAUAAAGCAACUGCCUCCUAAAACUGCAACUCGUUCUUUGGAAGAUAGGCGCCCAGCAAGAAAACCAAAGAGACAUGAUGAAGAAGGCGAUGGAGCAGAAGCUAUUAGUAUGAUUAGGAGGAUGUUUGGGUACUUAUCAUUCCUUCCUUAUAAGUUUCUUUUAGUUGAUUUUUUGUCCUUUUGGGAAGGUUGGCUUGCAAUGAUUUUUUUUGAAGCUCUAGCUUUAGAAUUUCUGACAUUGCUGGUUGCUUUAGAGUUGAGGGUUCGUGAGACCAGAAACCUUAUAGUCUUGAAGGACCUUUUUGUGCAAGUGGAUAGACUUCCUAAUGGAAACUGAUCAGGUGAAAUAUUCACGUUCUCUGGUCAGAUUCUCUUGCGGUUGAGGAAACAUACAAAAAAGUUGAUUCAGAUAAAACUUGUAUGAUUGGUUCUUUAUUUGAUGUAGUUAAAUUAAGAUCUGUGAUAAACUGCAAGAUGUUGCUAGCUUUGAUAAUGCCUAAUGUUGAAUUUCAUCUCGUUUUGUUGGCUUGAGAAAGUAUGUCUCUUUUUUGUAGGUAUAAUCCCAACAGGUAUCAAGAUGAUGAUGAUACCAGUGAUAUGGAGGCUAAUUUUGAUGACAUACUAAGGGAAGAAAAGCGAAGUGCAAAAAUAGCAAGGAAAGAGGACGAGGAAGAACUUCGGAAGAUAGAAGAAGAAGAGAGGAGGGAGCAGUUGAGAAAGCAGGCAAAGAAGCGCAAGUUGAGUCAUCAUUGAAGGGAAAGAUGGUUUUCCGUUGCUUGAUAGAUAGAACUACUGAGGUUUUCAUUUUUCGCUAGUUAGCCACAAAGUAAAGGGGGGCUGUGGGAAAUUUGUACAGGAAUAUUGAGUCUCCGCUUAAUUUACCUAUUGAUUUGUUUCUAUUGGUUGUUGUAUUGAGAUUUGAGCGUUGCCGCUCAUCGCCCAAGCAGCUGUAGUAGAAUCUUUUUAUCAUUCUGCUGCUGCAAUAAUUUAAUGUCUCUAUUUGCUAAGCUAAAUUUGAGAAAAUUCUUGGGGUACAUGCCCCACACCUUUUGAUUUAGUUACUGUACAUUAUAUUUUGCCGUAA